rnacentral:misc_RNA from 1 species
UUUUAGAAACAUCAGUGGCCAACGGUCGUCAGGAUCGUUGAGCUGCAUUGGCGGGAUUUCGCCGUCUUCGUUUCUCUUUCUUCGCGGACGAACACGCGCUGGGGCUGCAACCUUGCAGAAUCCCUGGUCCUUGACUGGAUAUGCGUUAGGGGCUUGUAGCUCAGUUGGUUAGAGCGCGCGCUUGAUAAGCGUGAGGUCGGAAGUUCAAGUCUUCCCAGGCCCACCACACUCAUCGAGUGAGCAUUCGUCUUCUGGUUACGGGGCCAUAGCUCAGCUGGGAGAGCGCGUGCUUUGCAAGCAUGAGGUCGUCGGUUCGAUCCCGUCUGGCUCCACCAGAUGGUUUGAUCACCGGCUGCUCAUACCGUCGUCCGCGAAACAUCACUUCGCACUUACUAGUCCGGAUGGACAGUAAGCUGCGUGAUUUCUGACAUCGUAAAGAGGAGAUCGAUCCGAGUUGGAUCGGGCAACAAGUAAUUGUUGCGCGAUACUUCAUUAUCUCCGGAUCAUUUCGGCGCUCGUGCGUCUUCCAUUGUAGCUCACAAGGCUGCUUUGAAAGACAAGCGAGUUGUAAAUGAUCCUUUUAGCGAAGCUUGACCGCCUCGCUAUCGGAACGAUCUUACGAAGCAAGCUGGUCUUUCUAAUCAUUGUCCGGCUGCAGAUAGCGUUCAUCGAGGGCGCGUGCCGCAAGGUAGUUCUGCAGACAACAUUCUGCCGAGUGUGUGGACAUUGAUAAUGAGAGCAAUCAAGUGCCUUAAGGGUGUUCGGUGGAUGCCUUGGCGCUGAGAGGCGAUGAAGGACGUGCUACGCUGCGAUAAGCCGUGGGGAGCUGCGAAGAAGCUUUGAUCCAUGGAU